rnacentral:rRNA from 1 species
UGCCUGACCGUUAGGGUGUUUAGGUUUUUGAGAGGGGUUGGAGUCCAUGGCAUGUUUUAUGGUAAAUGAAGGGACGAAGCGAGCUCCAGGUAGAAUUGCGGAUUGAUUUUAGGUCUUUCUUCUGCCGGGGAUAACUACGGGAAAAAUGUAGCUGAAGGGGAGGACAGAAAUAAGGAGGUAGGACUAUCAGUUAGUUUGGUAGUGUAGAGGGACUACCAAAGACGAUGACGGGGUAGCGGGGAAUCAGGGUUUGAUACCGGAGAGGGAGCGUGAGAGAUAGCUCCCACGUCCAUGGACGGCAGCGGGGCGCGAAGAUUGCCCACUCUUUGCAGGAGGCAGUUAUGAGACGUGAAGAUGAAUAUUCAGUAAAGAUGAAUAGGAGAAUUGGAGGGCAAGUUUGGUGCCAGCCGCCGCGGUAAUACCGACUCCAAGAGUGUGUAUGAGAGAUGCUGCAGUUAAAAAGUCCGUAGUCAUAGAAAGGUAAACAGGGAUGUGAAGUCUCUAGUGUUAGCGAUUGAAAAGCCGAUGGGGAACAUAGUAUACCAGGGCGAGAGGUGAAAUGCCAAGACCCCUGGUGGACUGAGCGAGGCGAAAGCGAUGUUCUUGUAGGUGUUUGAUGAUCAAGGACGAAGGCUGGAGGUCGAAAGUGAUUAGAUAUCGCAGUAGUUCCAGCUGUAAAAGAUGCCGACAUGUCACCAGGUUGCUUCUGCCUGACACUCCUCCGGCCUCACCUUGCCCCAUCUUACUUCCCCCCGACCCCAACCUU